GUUUGUUCUAGUUCAUUUAGUCUUGCAGGUUUAUGAAUCCAGUGAUGCAUGAUUUGACGAGGAAGCUGGUGGUGGUGGCGGCAUGUGAGAUGUAGACAACAGGGCUAGCUUGGAAGAUGCUAGUAAGAUGUAAAAGAACACCAUUAUUGCUUAUCCUCUUCUCUUAUUGGUACCAUUUUACUGCAUCUUGUGAAGGUUCUGACGUUUCGACCCUGGUUGGACUACCUGGAGGCUUUUGGGAUGCGAUUGCGAAGAGAAGAUUCUUCGAGUAUGAUCAAGUGCAAAUACCUUAACACGGUUGUCAUUUUGCUUCAAAGAAGUUUCUCUAGCGCUCCUCUGAGUGUUUGAGUUUGUUCUGAGAGCUAAAAGGCUAGCCUGGUGAUGGUGGCGAUAUUGAGAAGUUCUGCACAAUGGAUCG
rnacentral:misc_RNA from 1 species